rnacentral:rRNA from 1 species
UCGGGAAUUUUGGGCAAUGGGCGCAAGCCUGACCCAGCAACGCCGCGUGAAGGAUGAAGUUUUUCGGAAUGUAAACUUCACAAGAAUGGGAAGAAUAAGUGGGGGCUAACACCCUCCAUGAUGACGGUACCAUUUGUAAGCUCCGGCUAACUCCGUGCCAGCAGCCGCGGUAAUACGGGGGGAGCAAGCGUUGUUCGGAUUUACUGGGCGUAAAGGGCGCGUAGGCGGCGCGACAAGUCACUUGUGAAAUCUCUGGGCUUAACUCAGAGCGGUCAAGUGAUACUGUCGUGCUAGAGUGCGGAAGGGGCAACUGGAAUUCUCGGUGUAGCGGUGAAAUGCGUAGAUAUCGAGAGGAACACCUGCGGCGAAGGCGGGUUGCUGGGCCGACACUGACGCUGAUGCGCGAAAGCCAGGGGAGCGAACGG